UACGAAGGGGGCUAGCGUUGCUCGGAAUGACUGGGCGUAAAGGGCGCGUAGGCGGAGUGCUUUGUCAGACGUGAAAUUCCAGGGCUUAACCUUGGGGCUGCGUUUGAGACGGGCAUUCUAGAGUGGGGAAGAGGGUCGUGGAAUUCCCAGUGUAGAGGUGAAAUUCGUAGAUAUUGGGAAGAACACCGGUGGCGAAGGCGGCGACCUGAUCCUUUUACUGACGCUGAGGCGCGAAAGCGUGGGGAGCAAACAGG
rnacentral:rRNA from 1 species